rnacentral:lncRNA from 1 species
CCUCAUUCAAGGUUAUCUACACAACAGAAUACAAGUUCUCUCAAAUACCUUUUAGAAUGCAAAAUCUUUAAACAAAAUCAUAUAUCCAACAACAAAAUUCUUGAAAAUGAGUUCAACUGCAAGCAGAUCUUGGAUUGUGGCAGCCAGUGUGGAAGUUGUGGAGGCACUGAAAGAUUAGGGUUUCUACAAAUGGAAUCACACUUUCAGAUAUAUUGAUCCAACACCAAACAAAGAAUAGUCUAAGAUCAUACUCUCAGGCCAAGAAGCUCUCUAUCCACUCUUUUUCUGUGAUUUUCGAUAAAUUCAAGAAAGAAGAGAAAAUAAAGGAGUUUGAGGAAUCACUGAGGAAAAUCAUGUAUUUGAGCUAUUGCGGUCCCAAUUGAUCCCAUAUUUUAUUGUUUGUCUCUAUAUUUGAAAAUAGGGAAUAUAGAGAGAUGGAAAUUUUGAGGGAAAUUUUGUUUUAAUAGUAGGAGAAAUAGAAAAAAAAAAUGAACCAUGAAAUUACUUGUUUUAUUCAUGCAUUUAUAGUUUACUUUCUCUUUUUCUUCCUCAUGAAUAAAUAGGAGCAAAUGGCAAACUUACUCUACUACAGUUUUGAAAAAGAAAGAGAAAAUACAUGCAUUAAAUAACGAUUUUUGGCGUCAGAAUUUUCCAGCUAGUCUAUAUUGUCAAUAUUACGAAGUGCUUCUUUCAGUAUUGGGUUUGAAACUUGUAUAGUUUCUUAGUUACCUUAUUUUGAUUAUUAACACGAUUGAAUAGUUUAUUGUAGAGUUAAAUGUUUCAAUGGAUACUAAAUUUUGCAACAUGUCAUGGCUUACUCACCGAAAUUUCAAGAGUCCCAUGUCAGUCACUAAACUUUACUCCGUCAUUUUCCAUUACUCACUCGACGGAUAUCAUUUGAAUUAAUGCUGACAUGAAGGACAAAAGUAUGACAUGUCCUGUUAACUCCUUCCAAAUAUUUACAUUCUCACC